AACGAACGCUGGCGGCAUGCCUAACACAUGCAAGUCGAACGAAGGCUUCGGCCUUAGUGGCGCACGGGUGAGUAACGCGUGGGAAACUGCCUAUUGGUGGGGAAUAACGACGGGAAACUGUCGCUAAUACCGCAUAAGCCCUUCGGGGGAAAGAUUUAUCGCCGAUAGAUAGUGCCCGCGGUCCGAUUAGCUUGUUGGUGAGGUAAUGGCUCACCAAGGCGACGAUCGGUAGCUGGUCUGAGAGGAUGAUCAGCCACACUGGGACUGAGACACGGCCCAGACUCCUACGGGAGGCAGCAGUGGGGAAUAUUGGACAAUGGGCGAAAGCCUGAUCCAGCAAUGCCGCGUGAGUGAUGAAGGCCUUAGGGUUGUAAAGCUCUUUCGGGUGGGACGAUGAUGACGGUACCACCAGAAGAAGCCCCGGCUAACUUCGUGCCAGCCGCCGCCGUAA
rnacentral:rRNA from 1 species